GAAGCAGUAGCUCAGUCUGGUUAGAGCGCCAACUUUGUUAGUUUUGGCAUUACCCGCAAGGGUCAAUUAAAACUUACUUCAACUUUUGGGAGUUGGAGGUCGUGGGUUCAAAUCCCACCUGCUUCG
rnacentral:tRNA from 1 species